CGUAAUAAUUUUUUGUCUAUUUACAAAAUUCCAAAAACGAAAUUAACAUCCUCUUAGAUAUGUCUUAUGAAGUGCUAGCAACAGCAUUUUGUUAUUCUCCGAGUUUCUAUCAACUCAAAAUCUCAAAAAAAGAUUGGACGUUAGUCCAAUCAAACAUUGAUAAGGAUAUAAUUAUAUAAGGGUGGCCGUUUAGAGUUAAAUAUAGAAAACAAGCUACUAAUCUAUAAAGACAUAAUCAAAGCAACACGUACGGCAUCCAGUUAUGGGAUACAAUGGCUAGAAGCCACAUCGCCGAAGUGGAAGCCGUGCAGUCGAUCAUACUUGGUACGACUUGGUAGUAGACGCAUCUUGCUACAUAUGAAAUGAAGAAAUACGCAAAGAUUUUCAAAUCCUGACUGUAAAAGAGGACAUUCAGCGAGUAUCCGACAGAUGUAAAUCAAAAACAAUAACCGUACAUCGACAGUACCAUUAGAAGAUUGAAAAAGAAACAACAGCAGGAGAUAGUGACGCAAACUGAAAUAUGAACGUAUUCUUACGAGAUUUGCAGCCUCACGCUAUCCUUAACAACUGAAACAAUCCGCCGAAUGUUCUACAGAGCAAAUUGCGGGAAUCUAUUUUAUUUUUUAAUUAUUUAAAAAGAAAGAAAAAUAUCUACAGUGUAUCCGAUUUACUCGUGAACCGUUAAACAUCUCGGAAAAUAUACAAGCUAGGAAAAAAUGAUUCAGGCGAUAGUCAGCAGAUUGAGAUUAAGCUUUUUAACGAGUCUUUAAAUUCUCUGUUACAUAUUCUUGUAGCUGACGUCGAAACAUCUUCCAAGCCUUACGUACGAAUGUAUUUUGUGCAAUUUCAAGAUAUAAAUUACUCGCUCGGACGUUGCACAUUAUGGUGGUACUCGAAAGAGCCGAUUUUAUGCGAGUAAUGCAACGUAAUGUGAUGCAGCUCAAAACAGUUCAGCACGAUCAUCCACAGAUGAGUGGGAUUCACGUAAAUUACAAUAAUAAUUUUUCCCAUCGUAUCUGAGGGAAAGCUCUUUGUGACAACUUUGGCCUUUCGUAUCUCGAAAUUGUCUUGUGUAAAACACAUUAGUAUAUGGGGCUUUGGAAAUGUUUUGACGUCAGCUGCAAGAAUAUGUAUUUAAAAACGUAAACGUAAUGUUCAUAGGGUAUUUCAGAGUCAUUCCAAAGUCGCAUAAAUCGUACAAGCAUAUGUGCUACCUGAUACGUUCUAACUUUUGUCCCAAUCACUUUUCGUACCUCACAUGUACAUUUUUCGAGAUAUUUAACUGUUUACAGAUAAAUCGGACAUAUUGUAUGUCGUACGAUUAAUAAAUUUUAUAAAGCAAUGCGUUUUUAGAAGCACGCACGUGUUGAACGUUUUGACUUGAAAUAUGCUUCUUUACGAUGCUUUAAGAUGCUUCUUACGAUAGCUUUGCGACGUCGAAAAUAUAUCCUGCCAUGGCAUGUAUAAAAUAAUGGCAUUUUCUGACAAUGAACGAAACUUUACUAAUAGCACCUUACACCGAUCGAUAUUAGCAACAGAUUGCAUAGUACAGUAGAUACAACAGUAGAUAGUAGAUAGCAGUACAGUAGUGCUAUACAAUACUACUACAUAACAAUGCGUUAGCGAAAGAAUACUGAUAAACAGAAAUAAUAUGAAAAGGCUCGUUGAUUAGUGCCAUAAGAAGAAUAUAGGAUUCCUGUGAAAGAAGCACUUUUCAAAUACAUAAAAUUGACUUCAUGUACAUAAAAGUAGAUACGUAAGAUUUGUUUCAUGUUCUAUCUUUUAUAUAUUUUAAUUUUCUCUCGUGGGUAUAUAGAUACAUUCCGUACAAGUUUCAUAAAAUAUUGAUUGUUUGAAAUAUCGUCAAUCUGGAAAGAGCAUAGAAUUAAAGUGUGUUAGAAAGGAAGAUGCACUUAAAAAAUAGUUCAUGUAGAAAUCUAUGUAAGUUUUAAAAAAGACGUAAUAAUUUUUUAAAAAUAAAAUAAAUAAAUAACAAAAAAAAUUAAUAUUUUUUAUAAAGAUGUCAACAGAACACGAGAGAGUAAAUAUAGAUUUUUAG